GCCCACAUAGCUCAGUGGUAGAGCACUUCCUUGGUAAGGAAGAGGUCACCGGUUCAAAUCCGGUUGUGGGCUCCA
rnacentral:tRNA from 1 species